UGUACGUCGCGUUGCCUUCAAUUUGAGCUAAAAAUCAGCCAAGAAAGAGAGGGUGGAAGUGGUUGCUGCAUAAUUAAGGUAACGACGUGACAUUGGAGGAGAGCAAGUGAACGAUAACAUAGCUAAACGACAAAGGUAGACAGGAAGGUGAGCUUGGUCCAGACCCUUAGUAGCUGUCAACUGAUCGAGAGCACUCCAUUGUCCGGAGGUGCUUAUGGUUCUUCUUUUGGUAUAUAUGCAUAUUUUGGGCAUGACGGAGUCUUGUUCCGUCUAUAUGUUUAGUAUGUCAGUAGAGGCUCGUAGAUCCGCAGUGUGGGUCAGAUGGUCUCGCAAGAUGUUAUUAUUAUGUAUAUGUUAUUUUGAUGGCCGAGAGGCAAAUGUAUAUAAGUAUUUAUGUUUUUAU